GAAUACUGUAUAGCCCUGAAUGCACUGAUCUCAUCUGACUUCAGAAGCUAAGCAAGGUCUGGCUUGGGUACUACUGAGAAGGGAGACUGCCAGGGAAUUCCAAGAAUAUUCAAGU
rnacentral:rRNA from 1 species